rnacentral:rRNA from 1 species
GAAGCGGCAAAAGCUCAAAUUUGAAAUCUGGCACCUUCGGUGUCCGAGUUGUAAUUUGAAGAAGGUAACUUUGGAGUUGGCUCUUGUCUAUGUUCCUUGGAACAGGACGUCACAGAGGGUGAGAAUCCCGUGCGAUGAGAUGCCCAAUUCUAUGUAAAGUGCUUUCGAAGAGUCGAGUUGUUUGGGAAUGCAGCUCUAAGUGGGUGGUAAAUUCCAUCUAAAGCUAAAUAUUGGCGAGAGACCGAUAGCGAACAAGUACAGUGAUGGAAAGAUGAAAAGAACUUUGAAAAGAGAGUGAAAAAGUACGUGAAAUUGUUGAAAGGGAAGGGCUUGAGAUCAGACUUGGUAUUUUGCAAGCCUUACCUUCGUGGUGGGGUCCCCUGCAGUUUACUGGGCCAGCAUCGGUUUGGAUGGUAGGAUAAUGACUUGGGAAUGUGACUUUGCUUCGGUAAAGUGUUAUAGCCCUUGUUGAUACUGCCUGUCUAGACCGAGGACUGCGUCUUUGACUAGGAUGCUGGCAUAAUGAUCUUAAGUCGCCCGUCUU